ACGCAAUACGGCCGUCGCUCAGCUUAAUGCUGCAACCCUGAGAGAGACAGAGUCACAGCGCUGAUUUUCAGCGAUAGCCGACGUCCUAACGUGAUGACGUCAAAUCGGUAGUAUAUAUAUAUAGAUUAAAAUAAAAUAAAUAUAAUGUUAAAAUUACAUAUACAUAGAACAAAGUAAAUAAAUAGAAUAUUAAAUCAUGUAAUAUCUGCAUGUGCGUAACUAGCAUUAAAAAGGUAUAUUAAAAUGGCAUGGCAACAAUCAGAUAAAAGUUAUUAAUCUGUGCCAUGUUGGAAGUUUGGAAGUCGUCUGAAGUCUUAUUCUUAUGUUGGUAUGUUGUGUCUGUACUAUGGUUUAUGAAUUAUGAUCUGUGAAUAUGAUAACAAUGGCGAACGACGCUAACUACAGAGAAAUAAAAAGAAGUAAUUAUGCAAUCGAAGGUCGAAAAUACUGUGAUGAGUAAUGUGGUUGUGUAUAUAUGAAGAUGGUAGUUUGUGCAGUGAAUGAAUUUUAGUAUGUGAUAGUGCGAGAAGGUCGAAGAUGUGUUGUAAUCAAUCUGGUGAGUAAAAGAAACACAAAAAAUAAUAAUUUUAAAGUGUUUUAGACUCCAAUAGGCAUCAGGGCGGAUAGUUUUGUACGCUAUAGUUGAAAUAAUUUGUAAUUUGUACGCUAUAAUUGAAUAAAACAUUGGUGCAUGAAUAAUCGGUGCUAUAUUAACAUUUAACCUAACAGACAAUACUUACAGACAAGAAUUACAUGCUAAGAGAAGAAAAGGAAAGGACACAGUGAGGCAGAGAGCACCUUCAAUUGAGUGCGUUCAAGAAGAAAGACAAGAAAAAGCAGCCCACGCCUCAGGAGCCCCCUCCACCAGAGCAUGUAUGUCAUGACCCCAGAGACGUCGUAAUGGUGGAGGGAGAUCAUUCCAACAGCGUGUGGCUGCAAACUUGAAACAUCCUCUAAAAGCUGUAGUGGUAUGCAUAGGCACCACAAGGGGGCAAACCAUGGAGCGAAGACCGCGAUUCAUUAGGUUGUGUUUCCAGGUCCAAAAAUCCUAGAUAUAUCCUCUUCGGUGCGGAUCCUUUGCGUGGAGUCACCAGGGCUUUUCUA